rnacentral:rRNA from 1 species
GAUGAACGCUGGCGGCGUGCCUAAUACAUGCAAGUCGAGCGAACGGACGAGAAGCUUGCUUUUCUGAUGUUAGCGGCGGACGGGUGAGUAACACGUGGAUAACCUACCUAUAAGACUGGGAUAACUUCGGGAAACCGGAGCUAAUACCAGAUAAUAUUUUGAACCGCAUGGUUCAAAAGUGAAAGACGGUCUUGCUGUCACUUAUAGAUGGAUCCGCGCUGCAUUAGCUAGUUGGUAAGGUAACGGCUUACCAAGGCAACGAUGCAUAGCCGACCUGAGAGGGUGAUCGGCCACACUGGAACUGAGACACGGUCCAGACUCCUACGGGAGGCAGCAGUAGGGAAUCUUCCGCAAUGGGCGAAAGCCUGACGGAGCAACGCCGCGUGAGUGAUGAAGGUCUUCGGAUCGUAAAACUCUGUUAUUAGGGAAGAACAUAUGUGUAAGUAACUGUGCACAUUUUGACGGUACCUAAUCAGAAAGCCACGGCUAACUACGUG